rnacentral:RNase_P_RNA from 13 species
ACAGAUAUCGAAAGAGAGAAAAGAAAAAAGACAAAACAAGAAAUUGCUGCUGUUCUUCCGCUGUCAUUUUUGGUCUUUUUGUUUUGGGUUUUUUUCCUUUCACCUUUUCGUUCUUUGGUUUGGGAUUCGU